rnacentral:sRNA from 1 species
UUGACUCCGCUGCGCAUUCGUCUUAACGUGAAGGGAUAAGGGAAAGGGAGGAGUAUCCUCCCCCUGGUGUCUUAGUAAGCUGCGAAACUUACCACUAAGAGUAUCACCAGUAUGAUGACCAACUUCAUCAUAUGCCCUUUCCUUCUA